rnacentral:rRNA from 1 species
GUGAAAUGCGUAGAUAUCCGGAGGAACACCAAAGGCGAAGGCAAUGUCCUGGCUGUUACCUGACGCUGAGGGGCGAAAGCUAGGGGAGCGAACGGGAUUAGAUACCCCGGUAGUCCUAGCUGUAAACGAUGACCACUAGACGUUCGGGGUAUCGACCCCCUGAGUGUCGUAGCUAACGCGAUAAGUGGUCCGCCUGGGGAGUACGGUCGCAAGAUUAAAACUCAAAGGAAUUGACGGGGACCCGCACAAGCAGCGGAGCGUGUGGUUUAAUUCGAUGCAACGCGAAGAACCUUACCAGGAUUUGACAUGGGCAGGACCAUCUUGGAGACAAGACUCCCUUCGGGGCCUGUUCACAGGUGCUGCAUGGCUGUCGUCAGCUCGUGCCGUGAGGUGUUGGGUUAAGUCCCGCAACGAGCGCAACCCUCAUCGGUAGUUGUAGAUAUCUACCGAGACUGCCGCGAUCAACGUGGAGGAAGGUGGGGAUGACGUCAAGUCAGCACGGCCCUUACAUCCUGGGCGACACACACGCUACAAUGGCGAGGACAAUGAGUCGCGAACCCGCGAGGGGGAGCCAAUCUUAGCAAACCUCGUCUCAGUUCGAAUUGGAGGCUGCAACCCGCCUCCAUGAAGUGGGAGUUGCUAGUAACCGUGAGUCAGCACAUCACGGUGAAUACGUUCCCGGGUCUUGUACACACCGCCCGUCACACCACGAAAGUCGGCAACCCCUGAAGCCGCUGGGCUAACCCGCAAGGGAGGCAAGCGUCGAGGGUGGGGUCGGUGAUUGGGGUGAAGUCGUAACAAGGUAACCGU